GUGAGGAAUUUUCCGUAAUGGGCGAAAGCCUGACGGAGCAAUGCCGCGUGAAGGAUGAAGGCCUAUGGGUUGUAAACUUCUUUUCUCAGAAAAGAAUUAUGACGGUAUCUGAGGAAUAAGCAUCGGCUAACUCUGUGCCAGCAGCCGCGGUAAGACAGAGGAUGCAAGCGUUAUCCGGAAUGAUUGGGCGUAAAGCGUCUGUAGGUUGUUUAAAAAGUAUUCUGUCAAAGAUUAGGGCUUAACCCUAGAUAGGCAGAAUAAACUUUUAAGCUAGAGUUUGGUAGAGGCAGAGGGAAUUCCCGGUGGAGCGGUGAAAUGCGUAGAUAUCGGGAGGAACACCAAAGGCGAAGGCACUCUGCUGGGCCAAUACUAACACUGAGAGACGAAAGCGAGGGGAGCAAAUGGGAUUAGAUACCCCUGUAGUC
rnacentral:rRNA from 1 species